GUGGGGAAUUUUGGACAAUGGGCGCAAGCCUGAUCCAGCAAUGCCGCGUGCAGGAAGAAGGCCUUCGGGUUGUAAACUGCUUUUGUACGGAACGAAACGGUCCUGGUUAAUACCUGGGGCUAAUGACGGUACCGUAAGAAUAAGCACCGGCUAACUACGUGCCAGCAGCCGCGGUAAUACGUAGGGUGCGAGCGUUAAUCGGAAUUACUGGGCGUAAAGCGUGCGCAGGCGGUGCUGUAAGACAGGCGUGAAAUCCCCGGGCUCAACCUGGGAAUUGCGCUUGUGACUGCAGUGCUGGAGUACGGCAGAGGGGGAUGGAAUUCCGCGUGUAGCAGUGAAAUGCGUAGAUAUGCGGAGGAACACCGAUGGCGAAGGCAGUCCCCUGGGCCUGUACUGACGCUCAUGCACGAAAGCGUGGGGAGCAAACAGGAUUAGAAACCCGGGUAGUCC
rnacentral:rRNA from 1 species